UACGGGGGGGGCAAGCGUUGUUCGGAAUUACUGGGCGUAAAGGGUUUGUAGGUGGCUUGCUAAGUCAGACGUGAAAUCCCUCAGCUUAACUGGGGAACUGCGUCUGAGACUGGUGAGCUUGAGUGCAGGAGAGGAACGCGGAAUUCCAGGUGUAGCGGUGAAAUGCGUAGAUAUCUGGAGGAACACCGGUGGCGAAGGCGGCGUUCUGGACUGCAACUGACACUGAGGAACGAAAGCGUGGGGAGCAAACAGG
rnacentral:rRNA from 1 species